GGAAGGGGUGUAUUUAUUAGAUAAAAAACCAACGCCCUUCGGGGCUCCUUGGUGAAUCAUAAUAACUUAACGAAUCGCAUGGCCUUGCGCCGGCGAUGGUUCAUUCAAAUUUCUGCCCUAUCGACUUUCGAUGGUAGGAUAGUGGCCUACCAUGGUGGCAACGGGUAACGGGGAAUUAGGGUUCGAUUCCGGAGAGGGAGCCUGAGAAACGGCUACCACAUCCAAGGAAGGCAGCAGGCGCGCAAAUUACCCAAUCCCGAUACGGGGAGGUAGUGACAAUAAAUACUGAUACGGGGCUCUUUUGGGUCUCGUAAUUGGAAUGAGAACAAUUUAAAUCCCUUAACGAGGAACAAUUGGAGGGCAAGUCUGGUGCCAGCAGCCGCGGUAAUUCCAGCUCCAAUAGCGUAUAUUAAAGUUGUUGCAGUUAAAAAGCUCGUAGUUGAACCUUGGGUCUGGCUGGCCGGUCCGCCUCACCGCGAGUACUGGUCCGGCUGGACCUUUCCUUCUGGGGAACCUCAUGGGCCUUCACUGGCUGUGGGGGGAACCAGGACUUUUACUGUGAAAAAAUUAAAGUGUUCAAAGCAGAACUUUGCUCGAAUACAUUAGCAUGGAAUAAUAGAAUAGGACGUGUGGGUCUAUUUUG
rnacentral:rRNA from 1 species